rnacentral:rRNA from 1 species
CUUACGGGCGGCUGCAGUGGGGAAUAUUGGACAAUGGGCGCAAGCCUGAUCCAGCAAUGCCGCGUGUGUGAAGAAGGCCUGCGGGUUGUAAAGCACUUUGAGUGGGGAAGAAGGCCUGGGGGUUAAUAGCUUCUGGGAUUGACGUUACCCACAGAACAAGCACCGGCUAACUCCGUGCCAGCAGCCGCGGUAAUACGGAGCGUGCGAGCGUUAAUCGGAAUUACUGGGGGUAGAGCGCUCGGUCGCGUGUGAAAGCCCUGGGCUUAACCUGGGAACUGCAUUGGAUACUGUUUGACUGGAGUGUGGUAGAGGGGUGUGGAAUUUCCGGUGUAGCAGUGAAAUGCGUAGAGAUCGGAAGGAACACCAGUGGCGAAGGCGGCACCCUGGACCGACACUGACGCUGAGGUGCGAAAGCGUGGGGAGCAAACAGGAUUAGAUACCCCGGUAGUC